GAGAAUCCCCCAUUUAAGCAAAAAUCACGCAUUUUCUCUUUGAGAAUCCCCCAUUUUAGCUGAAAAUCACGCGUUUUCUCUUCGCAAAUCCCCCAUUUAAUUCGAAAAUCACGCGUUUUCUCUUCGAGAAUCCCCAAUUUAACCCGAAAAUCACACGUUUUCUCUUCGUGUAUCACCCAUUUAAGUGAAAAAUCAUGCGUUUUCUCUUCAGGAGUCCCCCAUUUAAGCCAAAAAUCACGCUUCUUCUCUUCGCAAAUACCCCAUUUCAGCGAAAAUCAAGCAUUUUCUCUUCAAGAACCCCCCAUUUAAGCGAAAAUCAUGCGUUUCCUCAUUGAGAAUCCCCCAUUUAAGUGAAAAUCAUGCAUUUUCUCUUUGAGAAUCCCCCACUUAACCCGAAAAUCACGCAUUUUCUCUGCGAGAAUCCCCCAUUUAUGUGAAAAUCACGCGUUUUCUCUUCAAGAAUCCCCCAUUUAAGCGAAAAUCACGCGUUUUCUCUUCGCAAAUCCCUCAUUUAAGCGAAAAUCACGCGUUUUCUCUGCGAGAAUCACCCAUUUAAGCAAAAAUCACGCGUUUUCUCUUCGAGAAUCCUCUACUUUACCUGAAAAUCACGCGUUUUCUCUUUGCCAAUCCCCCAUUUAAGCGAAAAUCACGCGUUUUCUCUUCAAGAAUCCCCCAUUUUAGCGAAAAUCACGCGUUUUCUCUUCGAGAAUUCAGCAUUUAAGCAAAAAUCACGCAUUUUCUCUUCUAGAAUCCCCCAUUUAAUAAAAAAAUCACGCGUUUCCUCAUCGAGAAUCCCCCAUUUAAGCGAAAAUCACGCGUUUUCUCUUCGAGAAUCCCCCAUUGAAGCCAAAAAUCACGAAUUAUCACUUCGACAAUCCCCCAUUUAACCAGAAAUCACACGUUUUCUCCUUGAGAAUCCUCUACUUUACCUGAAAAUCACGCGUUUUCUCUUCGAGAAUCCCCCAUUUAAGCAAAAAACACGUGUUUUCUCCUCGAGAAUCCCCGAUUUAACCAGAAAAUCAUGCUUUUUCUCUUCGAGAAUCCCUCAUUUAACCCGAAAAUCACGUUUUUUCUCUUCGAAAAUCCCUCAUUUAACCCGAAAAUCACGCCUUUUCUCUUCGCAAAUCCCCCAUUUAAGCGAAAAUCACGCGUUUUCUCUUCGAGAAUUUCCAUUUAAGCAAAAAUCACGCGUUUUCUCCUCGAGAAUCCCCGAUUUAACCCAAAAAUCACGCGUUUUCUCUUUCAGAUUCCCCCAUUUAAGCCAAAAAUCACGCGUUUUCUCUUUGCAAAUCCCCCAUUUCAGCGAAAAUAACACUUUUUCUCCCCGUGAAACCCCAUUUAACACGAAAAUCACGCAUUUUCUCUUCGAUAA
ensembl:lncRNA